GACGAAGGGGGCUAGCGUUGUUCGGAAUUACUGGGCGUAAAGCGCGUGUAGGCGGUUGCCCAAGUCGGGUGUGAAAGCCUUGAGCUCAACUCAAGAAAUGCACUCGGUACUGGGUGACUAGAGGACCGGAGAGGAUAGUGGAAUUCCCAGUGUAGUGGUGAAAUUCGUAGAUAUUAGGAAGAACACCAGUGGCGAAGGCGGCUCACUGGCCCGGUACUGACGCUGAGGCGCGAAAGCGUGGGGAGCAAACAGG
rnacentral:rRNA from 1 species